rnacentral:rRNA from 1 species
UACGUAGUGUUCGAGCGUUAAUCGGAAUUACUGGGCGUAAAGCGCGCGUAGGCGGCUUUGCAAGUCGGGUGUGAAAUCCCCAGGCUUAACCUGGGAACUGCAUCCGAGACUGCAUAGCUAGAGUAUGGGAGAGGGAAGUGGAAUUUCAGGUGUAGCGGUGAAAUGCGUAGAUAUCUGAAGGAACAUCAGUGGCGAAAGCGACUUCCUGGACCAAUACUGACGCUCAUGUGCGAAAGCGUGGGGAGCAAACAGGAUUAGAUACCCUUGUAGUCC